UGAGAGGGACGGAUGGUCGCUCAUGUGCUCUUCGCUUUAUUAUGGGGAGCUCGUGGGAGGAAAGUCCGGACACCAUAGAACAGGAUGGUGGAUAACACCCACCGAUCGUGAGAUCAGGGAAAGUGCAACAGAAAGCAAACCGCCUCUCGACUUCGGUUUUGAGGUAAGGGUGAAACGGUGAGGUAAGAGCUUACCAGCGCCAGGAGUGAUUUUGGCGGCUAUGCAAACCCCAUCCGGUGCAAUGCCAAGCAAGGAGGAGCGGUUUUCCCGCACGUGUUUGUUCGACACGUUCGACUCCUGGGUAGGCAGCUUGAGGCACACAGCAAUGCGUGUCCUAGAUAAAUGACUAUCGUUCAGAUUUUUUCUGAAACAGAAUCCGGCUUAUAGUCCCUCUCUUUUU
rnacentral:RNase_P_RNA from 1 species